CCGCGAACCAUCGAGUCUUUGAACGCAAGUUGCACCCGAGGCCAUUAGGCCAAGGGUACACCUGCCUGGGCGUCACGC
rnacentral:rRNA from 1 species